AGUCCCUAAGCAAGGUAAGCUCAGAAAGGUGGACAAAAAAGGAUGCUUACAGAUUUCCCUUUUGUAGUUCCCUAGAUUUUUAAGACUGUACUUGCAAAGGAGGACAUUUACAAAAUGAAAGGAAAUGAAAUAAACAAACCCAUGCCAUCUCAAAAGCCAGGUCAGUUUAGCCAACCUGAAUGACACUGCAGCUUAACAAAGCCAGACUUCAGCUGUACUGGGACUUCACGUUACUCGCUUCUGCUGCUCUGAAAAGGGCUAAAAGCAGAAAUUGCUUAUAGAAUCUGCUCCUCUAAGGUGGAAGAAAAGCUGCUCAAAAUGCUAACAAUGAUCAGCUAGCUGCCUUGAACUCGGUGGGAUCAGAGUUUGAACACUGUUUUAAUAGAGAUAAAAAAGAUGGUCUCUGGUUUUGUUGCCGUCCUGAUUCAGCCAAUGAGUCAGUCAUCCCUAGAUUGCAACAGGGGCCUUCAUCCUUCACCUGCCCAGGAUCUUCUGUGUAAGCAGCUGCGUUUGUAAAACUAUUCUGCAUCUAAAUGACCUUACAGAUAGCUGGAAAUUCGCACAUCUAACUGUGGCCGGUGUGAUGUUAAAACCAAGCUGGUCAGAAGCACUGCAGACAACCAAAGGCAUCUCGAUCUGACUCCAGUGCGAGAGAGCUUGGAGGAGCACUGAUGGGGACUGUGCCGCCGCUGACCCUGGCACCAUGUGCUAACCUCUACCUCACUGUCUGCUCAGUCUGGGCUUCCACUUCCUCUGGGAGAAUGGUCAUCGGCCGGGGCCAGAAGCCAAGAGGAUUUGGAUAUCCAGCACUAUCUAGCUCUUUUGCAACUCUAAGAUUCUGUUUCUCAAUAUUGCAAGGAUUGUUUGCUAAACGAAAUAAUCCCUCUAACUGAAAAGAAAAUCAUUAUGUAAAAAACAGAAAUAAGGUCAGCAUCCUUUACAUGCCUUGUUACCACGCAGCAAUUAACUGGACCACUAAGGGUUAAUUCUGAUCCUGAGUGGGCCCAAUCAGGUUUGUUUCUGCCAUCUUAUUAGGUUAAAUAAAUAGAAACUUCUUGCAAUAUCCAUCCACAAUGAUAAGCAAUUCCCACUAUAAUGGAUGGCUAAUAUAUAAAUUCAGCCCACAUCAGUUUUGUGUCAACUAGCAAAAACAGAAACAAUGGAAACUAGACAGCCAUGCCUCCGCAUAGGUCAACAACCAAGGUUAUCUGUAUUCAAUUACUGGUAUCUGCAAACUUGCAUACUGUCAGCUGAUCGUAGACUAAAUGAAAACUUAUCAUGCACAGAGGCAGCAAAUACAUUUAUUUGAAGCAGGCAUCAUAUUAGUUCACUGGUUUGACUGUGGUUAAGGGAAAAAAGGGGGUUAUCAGUCUUUUGGGAAAUUCUUUCAAAUAUAACCUGCAGCAAAUAUCUAAAAUUGGGGAUUAUCUAUGUUAUAAAUCUUUGUUCAAAAAGUAGAAAAGGAACAGAAAUUACUCCGUAGCCCUCUAAGACGAUAAAUUAUAUUAUUUAACAAUAGAUAAACUUAGGGCACCUUUCCUGUGGAGCAGCCCUAUUGUGAAUUCGGCUUUAAUCUGCUUCACCUUAACAUCUGUUCAGUGGAACCAAAGAUUUGGCUGUUUCGGACGCAGACAAUAAUUUGUUUGUUAACCGCUUCGCUGGAACAAUACAUCAUUGCAGAAAACAAAGCCUACCAACACAACGCGUUUUUAUCUGUUUCCUCUAUCUGUGUUCCUUUUUCCACAAGUGCAAGUUCAGGUUUUUGAACUGUUUUCCUAGUGAUAAUUUGUGAUGCUGUGAGUUUCAUAACCCUGGAAAAACAUUUUUUUUUUUCAACCUCCUUUUUCAUCUUUGACCAACAGAUGUUCUGUUCAAAACGUGUAAGUACUCAUGAGGUACGUACCAGCAAAUUAUAAUUGCUAACGCCCCUGUGGAAGGAAAAUGUCAAUAAAUAUUUGUUAUCACUGGCCUGUUUGGAAACAAAGGCAUUUGCUUAACAGAAGUUCACGUGCCAAACCUUUUUAUGCAUCUUUUCCAGCAGUCCAUUCAAUUAGACAUCUAACAUUUUGUUUCUUUUCAGAAGAGGAAGUGAAAAUAACCUCACAGAAGCAAAAAUAAAGCAUAAAAGCAUGAGGGCAUCCUGUAUUCCAUAAUCCAUAAAGUGCAAAAUAGCACUUCAGCUCCUUUCAGGGAUCUGAAUGCGGCCACAGAGCUGAGCUGUGAUCCAGCUCCAGCACUUCACCACUGCACACCAAAGCAGCAAUCAAGGGUAGAAAUCUAAAUGCAUGGCACCGUAAUGCAGAGAAAUGCCCCAUUAACAUGUGACUGCUGACAACUGCAGUCCAUACCUAUGGAUAAUCUCCCCUUGCCAAAUGACUACAAUCUUAGUCAUUGCAGACUUAACUGCAACUCCUCUAGCGAGACAUACAGAGUAUGCUUAGUUCUGACUUCUCCCCAUGUCAGUGUAGUCUGGACUCAUCCUGCUACUGGAGGAGGAGGUAAAACUUACUUUCUAGAUGAGUGAAAAAAGCAAAUGCUAUCAUUUUCAUACCUGGGUGGUAAGCUGCUAGAGGCAUUCAGAACUGUCAUGCAGAAAUAACAGAAAAACUUACUUAUGCCACCAGUGCAGCAAAGUAGUUAACACAUCCUUGCACUGUGCCAUCCACUUCAAUCUGCUUCUUCUAUCUCCCUCAUUUUAUCUCCGGGUGUUUCUGAAGCUGUAGUUCUAUUCUAAAGACUAGGACUAACAUCUAACACAUGCUGUGAUGAUUUGACAAAUCAGCCUCUGCACCACUAAAAUGAAUGCUGUUUUACAGCGUGGACAGCUUGUGUUUCAGCCAGCGCACCCCACGUGGGCUGGAGCUUCCUUGCCUUCUCCAUGGCUUUUUGUCCUCUUGUUGAUGCAGAGAGCAAAGGAAUUGCAGGGUGCAUCCAUUCACCUGGCUACAGUGGAGCAUCCUUAAAAUGCAAGAAACUAGCCAUUCUAAUGAGACAGAAAUGGCUGCCACCCAAGGCAGGGGAAUUUUUCCAAGUCUGAACUCUAUGCAGGAAGCAACUUCUCAGUAGCUGCUUGUUUUAUGGAUUCAUUUGAGGAGCUGAUAAAGUUGAUAAGAGGGCUCCUGAGGUGUUUCACAAAUCAGGAGGACAGGGAUCUGCAUUUCUGAGAAGUCAUAUGCAGGAGUUUGGGUCUAGAAGAACUGUGACCUACUUAGAAGACUCUGACUUAAGCCCCAAAUAAUUCUCUUGCUCAAGCAUGAAUUACAAGCAGCUGAAGAAAGAUGAGCUUUCGCACUUGCGCUGCAGCCAACUUUGCCCACAUCUAAUGAGGAAAAGUAGGACUCGGUGCCAUUUUGUAUUCCCGUGAUGCGGUGCAGAUGGAGGCUCGGCACACGCUCCUCUGUCUCCCCUUGCAAAGCGCAGAGCUGGAAAGCAUCAGGUUGGAGAGCAGAGGAAAUGGUGGCUGCGAGAAGCUGCCUCACCCAUGGGAGCGGAGUCGGCAGCAGCUCUGGUGAGUGGAGAUGGCUGAACUGGAGGAAAAUAUUAAACGGCCCAUGGCCAAAAGCUUGGGGAGUAGAGCAGCAGCCAUGCGUGGAGGGAGGGGAAAGGCUGAGCCAUCACACCUCAGCUUAACCAGCCUCAGCAGAGGCAGAGAAGGUGGCACACAGGGGCUGGCCUCAGCCCUGAGCUGGGUGCAGGCUGCGCUUGUGUGCCAGGCCCAGGCCCUGCCUGCAGCCACGUGGACCCGCGUCCCAUGGAUGGAGCAGUGCAGUGAGCCAGCCUUCUGAUGCAAGAUGGGAACACAGCUGGGCUGGGCACCACUGUGGGAUUAUGAACUAAAAAAUAAUGGAAAAAGGCCCGUGGGGAAAGGGAAUGCAACUGAUGGGAGAAAUAUCAGAAGAGAUGGGGAGGAUGCAUCCUAUGUGCAUGCUUUAACCGCUGGGCUGUGGAUGUGAGUGAGGCUCCUGAGUUCUGUCAUGCAGGCCACGCUGGGCUGCCCAGGUGCGCAGGCUGACAGUGCACAACAUUACCUGCUCACUGGGUCAGGGCUGCCCUGUGCUGCAGGCAGGGUUUUGUUCAGCAAGAGAAAGGUUUUCUACAUAAAAGGCCUUAUAUUCAAAAGACACCAUUUUAACUUGGCUGCAGCGGCAUUGGGAAUGCAUACUGGGGAACAGGAAAAGUCCACGGGGCGGCUUUUGUCAGAAAACAGUUUCUGGAAAAAAUUAAAGUUCUCUUGAGGCAUGUAGAAAAAUUCCAGGACACUGUAUUAUUAUUGUUGUUAUUAUUACCCUUGAUCUUUUGGAAGGUGGAGAGGGAACGCAUGCCGUUUUAAAGAAAGAAGACAGGACAUCUGCAGCCUUUAAAAAGCAAAGCACAAAGGCUGCUGGGCUCUCCUUACAGCAUUUUUAAUUAUCUUCCUUAAGUUUCCCAAAUAAAAACACAUCACAUUGAGCCUCACCCAAUAAAGCUAUGUGGGUAAAUACAAUACCCAUUGUCUAAUCAAUAUCAUAUUGCUCAUGGCUUUAGCUCGUUCAAUAUCUGAGAUCAUUGCCUCCCUACUCACACCUACGGAUGCCAAUAUCUGCUUAAUGUUGGACAAACUGCAGUUGUCAUUCCCUGUAACGGAGUUCUUUAAUCUCAUUAAUAACCUACAGAUACCAAAGUGCAGCUUCAAGUAAAGCUGGCUGGAGCGUGCCAGGUUUCCGGAGUUUCAGCUCUGGGGUGGGGUGGGUUAAAGAGCCCUGCUCCUGGUGGGGCUGCAGCCCCUGCCCCACUGCUGCUGUGCUAGGGCACCCAUGAACAAUUUUUUAUUUUUUUAAGUCAAACGCAGAGAGUGAAGAGGUAUGGAGAGAGUGAUGGGUAUGAGCCCAGCCAGAUGCCGUGACCAGGACACAACGUAUAACAGAAGCACAUCCUCCAAAAUACUCCUUCUGGGAAGCACUCUGCACUCAGGCAUGCCACAGUGCCCACCCAUCAUCCCCACUGUAACACGGGCAAGCAGCGAGAACGCGCCUGGCCUGAGGCCUGUCCCAGCAGAGCAUCCCUGAGCCCCGCAGCCCCGCGCAGCUGUCCGGGCGCGCUGCCGCCACGUCCAAGCUCAGCACGGCUCUGGGGAGCCCAAAAUGUAUCGUGAAAUAAAAACAGCUGCGAGGGAAACUCAUAUGACUAGGAUAGGUGCCAUCUAGCAAUUAACAGCCAGAAGUUUUGAUCUGGAAAAUCACAUUUAUUUUAAUUGCUUCGCUGUUGUGUUCAUAAAGAAUUUGGCUCAUUUUAGUAUUUUCCUUAUUAGAUAUACGAUUUAACUUUGGAACAAUGUAGUCAUUAGUUCCAUUGUUCCAGAUUUUUCAUCACGGGGAAAUGAAUGAUGGAGACGUGUUCUGCAAGGAAGAUUGUUUAUAAAUAUUUAUCCUCGUCUUAACAGAUAUUUCUGUAAUCCAGCUGAAUUUUCUAGCACAGAAUUCAACAGUUGUUAAUCUGGCGCAUGGCGAGCGGCACAUUUCCUAACCUCUGAGUUCAGCGAGCGAUCUUAUCAAAAGAACCAAGCAAAAGAAGGCUUUUGUUUUAUGAUUAUUAUGAUUAUUUCCUUCGUAAGACCCAAUUCUUUCCAUUCCCUUCAGUGGGAAGACGCCACCACCACUGCCGUCCACUGACCCCACGGUAGGCACUGCCCUCUGUGCCAUGGGCAGGAUCAGGCCCUUCACAUGGGGCUGGGAGGGGAGCCAUAAAAAAUGCAUGGGCCUUUCUGCUGGGAACGAGGCUGCUCAGCUGAAAGGAAAUGGGAGGUGAAAGAUGGAAUUUGGCAGUUGUGCGCCGCUCCACCAUUUGGUGCUUGUUGUGGGACUCCAGCAAAAGGGAGCUAUCACUACGGGCAUAAUUUACUUGAUUUUAAGGAUCUGUAUGAAUUCUGGCACCAGACCAAGUAGCCAUUAGCUAUGAGGAGUGCUUCCCAAUGCUCAUUUGUUUUCCAUGUGUGAAUUUUCGCUCAUCUCAUUCUUCAGAAAAAAAUUUUUCUUCAUCAAUUCCAUGUGGAAAAUACAACAAAAAUCCAGAUAAUGAAUUAAUUCAAGAAACACAACAGUUUUUGUUUUUUUAAAUGGAAAACUACUAGUUCUGGAAUCAGACUGUCAGCCUGCUUUGAUUUCUGAUAUCUUAAAGCUAAGUGUUAUAAAAUGAUACGGUUGUUCACAUGCUCCAGGUUAGGCUUUUGGGCAAAUUACCCUAAAUAAGGUAACUCAAUAGCUAGGUAGGCAGGCUUUAAUGCUAUUACUAUUAGGAAAAUAUCAUUAAUACGAGACAUAUGCGGGCCACUAUUGCAUCAGCAGGGCCUCGCUCAGGCAAUGUGGGAGCAGUGCCGUGGAUUGCAGCAGCAGUGCUGGGCCUUCAAACACGUAACGUGCCUUAGUCUUGAGGUCAAAAUCUGUUAAUGCAAUUUUGAGUAUAAGAACAAGAAUUUAAAAUCCAUGUGGUUUUAAUGCCACGUUCUGAGAUGGGGGGGCAGGGUUUGUUGUGUUUCUUUAUUUGGCCUGCUUGCACUGAACGUGAACUCCUUCAAAAUCUGUGUGUCACAUUAAGACUCAUUUGUGAGAUACGAUGAACGAAACAAAAUCUCAUUCCAUUUCUUUGUUCAAAAAGUUUGAUUUUGGUUGUGUUUCACAUUAUAAGGAUCAUCAUUGGUAAUUUGCAUUUACUUCUCAUUGAAGCAUUACACAAUAAACCGAAACUGUGUGUCAGAUGUACUGCUCCCACAUAAGUGCACUGAAAUAAAGUGAGACCUCUAAGAGGAUGCCUGCCUUUACAACGAGCGUUCCCGUUUCAAACAAUUAAUAUGUUUGGAUUUCUUCAUUUUUGCGGUCUCAUAGCACAACUUAUAGCUAAAGCACUGUGUUGAACACGCAUAUUUUGGAGCGAGCUCUUCUCUGUGUCUAUUUAACAGCUACUCACAGCUGUCUCUGCUUUAAACAUAUUGGGAUAACAUUUCAUUACAAAGCCUUGAUGCAAUAAGAAAGGGAAAAUGGAUGCAGGAGGGAGGGCAGAGGGUGAGUGUAUGGCCAGCACCUCAUGCAGCAGGACCAUGCUGGCAGCGGGGGGGUUAGUGGGGAGAGGGCAGGGGCAUCCUCAACCCGGGCACUGUGGGCACGGUGGGCCGUGCAUCCUGAGCUGCUGCUGGUUUGGCUGUGGAAAGCACACCUGCUGCCCCCAGAUCUUAGCAUGGAGGAGGGAAAGCUCCCAUUCAUUUCUCUGAGCGCUAAGACACAGAGAACUGGCUCAGCGGUACAGUAAGCACAGAGCAAGCAGCAGUGACAGUGACAGGAAGGUACUGUCCUGCUGGGUACUGGCCACCACCUGACUGCCAUGCAGAAACAGCUCUGCUGGUGCCUGCAGGAGACUGGUUUUAAUGUGGCAUAUCUGCUUAACAGCUUUGCUGAUCAUGCUGCUGCUACAUGUGCGCAUUUGAAAUGUACUCUUAAAUUUACUUUGAGGACUUCCUUUGACC